CUUUUACCUUCUCUAGAAUGUUUAUUUGAGUCACAGUCUUCCACUCGCCCAAAUUCCAUGUUUGCCUCUAAAGAAGCCUGCCCAGUCCUGCGUAUUAUGUACCAGACAGUCAUUCUGAUCAUUGAGUCAAAUGUGUAGGUAAAUCCACCUGUCAUCCGGUGGCUGCUUUCGACCGGGGCUGAACAUGCAAUGCCAAAAGGAGAGGGCACAAUACUUUGGGAGGCAAACACACAGGAUUUCCUCCCCCCUGCCCUUCAUUAGAUUCUGCCACUGCCCAGGCUCAGUCCCUAGCAAUCACUGUGGGUGUAAUUUUAGAAAGAACUGGAAGAAGGGAAACCUUUUCUGCAACUUUCAGUUGGCAGAGUACCUCACCGUGUUUCUGCCUCCUGGCUUUUGACUUCUACCCCACAUGCCUUGGAAAGGAGAGAAAGGGAAACAGCUAGAAGAGGAGGAAGAGGAGGAAAAGGAAGGAACAGCUCAGGACUCUGUUCUCCAAAUCUGCUGAUGAUGAGAAGAAGCAGCUGCAGUAGCAGUUCACAGCACUGAGGGGUUGCUCUGAUCUCAUUUCUGGAACAACAGUUUACUUGCUAAGAGCAUGUCUCCUGAGUGACUGGGAUUCAGCCCUGGAGGAUAAGAAGGGGAGAAAAACAGCAGCACUGAGAAAGAUUAUUCUAGUCUCUAAUAUGGUUCUGCAGACCGGAAAGGACAGGCAGUUCCCUCUGUCCUCCAGUGUUCUCUCUGUGGCUCACCAUGGUCUCCACCUCAACUCACUGCAUAGGACCCCUAACUGGAAAUGUCCUUUGCAAUCCAGUUGCUCCUUGCUGCUGUGAACCACAUUGGUUAUGUGAAACAAGCCAGGAAUGGGAAGAAGAGGAAAGAAGGAGGACCUCAUCUCCAGAUUGUAUCACCCAUGGAAGAGAAAAGUCAGCAGGGACAGAAUGCUCCGCAUGAGGUUCUCCUCUCCCCACUGGAGAAGCUGGAGCAAAUAAGGUUCAUCAUGGGCAAAUUGACCCUGCCAUGGUGCCUGCAGAACGCUGUGCGAUAACUGCUUUUGGUUCAUACUGGGCUGCUUACGAGCUUUUGUGAUGGACCAGAACUCUCUAGCGCUGGUGCUGUGCGGACGCAGAACAAAAAGAUGAUUUCUGGCUCCAAGCAGUGGUAAUGUAAGCAUAAGAUGACAGAUUCAGGCAGUACAAAAUGACAGUAUGGUACAGGUUGUGAUUACAGAGCUCCACAGACCAACCGCAUUUCCACUAACCAUUUGCAGGGAUAGGGGAAGGGGAAGGCUGGGUAGUUUUCUUUAGCCAAAGUGUUGGCUUGGGCCAAAGUUUCAUUUGCACUUAAAACAGUGGAACUCAACUGUUACGCUGCUUAAUUAUUAUCCAGUAUUAUGCGUUUUCUGAGGUGGGGGCCUGCCUUUUUUUAUUAUUCCACCUGCUCCCUUUAAACCUCAA
rnacentral:lncRNA from 1 species